CGUUAAAAAAAAAAAAUGUCUCCUCUCGCGAUAACUAUUUUGAGCCUUCGCGCCCUGAGCGAGGGGCCGAGGUAAAGGCUGUGGGUGGAUAAGGCUCCCGCCCUCGCGCCGCACGGCGGUUCCUCGGAGAAUUUCGCUUGUGACGGAGGUGGCUGUACAAAAUGAGGCCGAUAGAGAACUUGACAGAGAAAAUGGAGCAGAAGAAUCCAGUGCCCACUAGGCUUCCCCCUAUUAUCUCAGAAGAUGGGAAUUACUCCGUGCACCAAAAUAGCCACACAAAGUACCACGAAGCUGUUCGGAAGGUAUCGUUAAAGACAUUCCCCAAUCAGGUCUUCAGGGUCCCCCUGACUGAUGCUCAGAACUUCAGCUUCUGGCGGUCCAACGGUGCAGGAGUGCGCCCAGAGGAGACCAUGCCAUGGAUCCGGAGCCCCCGCCACUGCCUCAUCAAAAGUGCAAUGACCAGGUUUAUGGAUCACUCUAUUCUCAAUGACAGAAACUUCAGUCUGUAUUGAGCAGGAUGUGUUUGCAGAAGGACACCGCAGAUGGAGCGGUGAAGAGGGAGGAAGUGGGAGAAAAGGAAACCCCCACAGGACUCCUGAUGGGGAGUCUGAGACGCCAUCCCCAGCCUGCUGCCUCAGCUUCACUCCAGAAAACAGCCCUGGGAAAAAUGUGCCAUGAU